rnacentral:rRNA from 1 species
ACAAUCGAACGUAAAAGGUAACCGAUACGUUUGGAAACUGACUCUAAUACGUCCAUACAUCGUAACGAUGAAAGCUCGAUCACCUUCUUAGCCUUGCGCAACCAGAUGACCCUAGGUCUUAAUACCGGCUUGGUGAGGCAAUGGCUCGCCACCGCUACGAUCGAUCCCUGGGCUGAGAGGAUGAUCAGUCACACUGGAACUGAGACACGGUCCAGACUCCUACGGGAGGCAGCAGUGGGGAAUAUUGGACAAUGGGCGAAAGCCUGAUCCAGCCAUGCCGCGUGUGUGAAGAAGGUCUUCGGAUUGUAAAGCACUUUAAGUUGGGAGGAAGGGCAUUAACUUAAUACGUUAGUGUUUUGACGUUACCGACAGAAUAAGCACCGGCUAACUCUGUGCCAGCAGCCGCGGUAAUACAGAGGGUGCAAGCGUUAAUCGGAAUUACUGGGCGUAAAGCGCGCGUAGGUGGUUUGUUAAGUUGAAUGUGAAAUCCCCGGGCUCAACCUGGGAACUGCAUCCAAAACUGGCAAGCUAGAGUAUGGUAGAGGGUAGUGGAAUUUCCUGUGUAGCGGUGAAAUGCGUAGAUAUAGGAAGGAACACCAGUGUCGAAGGCGACUACCUGAACUGAUACUGACACUGAGGUGCGAAAGCGUGUGGAGCAAACAGGAUUAUAUACCCUGUUAGUUCCACGCCGUAAACGAUAUCAACUAGCCGU